CCUACGGGCGGCAGCAGUGAGGAAUAUUGGUCAAUGGACGAGAGUCUGAACCAGCCAAGUAGCGUGAAGGAUGACUGCCCUAUGGGUUGUAAACUUCUUUUAUAUGGGAAUAAAAUGUUCCACGUGUGGGAUUUUGUAUGUACCAUAUGAAUAAGGAUCGGCUAACUCCGUGCCAGCAGCCGCGGUAAUACGGAGGAUCCGAGCGUUAUCCGGAUUUAUUGGGUUUAAAGGGAGCGUAGGGGGAUUGUUAAGUCAGUUGUGAAAGUUUGCGGCUCAACCGUAAAAUUGCAGUUGAAACUGGCAGUCUUGAGUACAGUAGAGGUGGGCGGAAUUCGUGGUGUAGCGGUGAAAUGCUUAGAUAUCACGAAGAACUCCGAUUGCGAAGGCAGUUCACUGGACUGCAACUGACACUGAGGCUCGAAAGUGUGGGUAUCAAACAGGAUUAGAUACCCGUGUAGUC
rnacentral:rRNA from 1 species